GGAAUCUGCAGGCCAUCACUGUGUUCUGCCCGUAGUGGGAACUAAUCUCGGUAGCAACUUGUCUGAACGCUCGCAUUCAUAGAACUCCGUAACUCUUCACCAGAUACUCUGUUGAUGGAAGGAACUGAAACUCUAUAAAAUGGCAACUCCUCAAGAGAAAGCACAAUGUGUGUCCUGGUUUAUUGAGACAAAAUCGGAUGUUCAGACUCAAUGAAACUUCAGAACGAAGUAUGGAAGAGAUCCAUCAUCGCACCCUUCAGUCCGUGCAUGGCACAAAAAAUUUAUGGAGACCGGGACAGUGUUGGAUAAAGGCAGGAACGGGCGAACAAGAACAUCCGAGGAAAACAUCCAUCGCGUUUUAAACGUCUUCACUAGUUCACCUACGAAGUCCAUCCGCAGUGCUGCCAGACAGUUGCAACUACCACCUUCAACUGUGCGUAAGGUCCUCCACAAGAACUUACGGUUGUACGCUUACAAAGUGCAAUUGUUACAGACACUUGAGCCAAAUGACAAGCCAACACGGACAGAGUUUGCACUCAACAUGCUGGAACGCCUUUCGGAGGAUGAAGCAUUCCUCAAGCGAGUUUGUUUCAGUGACGAGGCAACUUUUCAUGUUUAUGGGACAUUAAACAGACACAGUGUGAGAACCUGGGGGUCUAAACACGCCCAUGUGACUAGGGAGCUUCACCGGUAUAGUACAAAAGUGAAUGUGUGGUGUGGAACCACGCGCAACCGAAUAAUUGGUCCAUUUUUCUUCAACGAAUCAACAAUUACUGCAGAUGUUUACCUCGAUUUUCUGACCGAAUAUGUAGCACCACAAGUGAUUGACUUACAACCAACUAUCGUUCUUCAGCAAGAUGGUGCACCAACACAUUGGGGACUGAAUGUUCGUCGGUUUCUCAAUGAAACAUUUCCAGGCAGAUGGAUUGGGAGGGAUGGGCCAGUUCCUUGGCCACCGCGUUCGUCAGAUAUCACUCCCUUGGACUUUUUUUAAGGGGGUACGUAAAAGAUAUCAUGUAACAAACUGACUCGAAGCAAAGGACUCGUAAUACCAUUACCACCAUUGAUGACGCUAUGCUACAGCGAACACGGCAAGAA